AAAAAAAAAAAAAAAAAACAGAUGUGUUUGGCAACACCGUUUUGUUUUUUUGUUUUUUUUGUUUUUUAAGCAAACCAGGUAGAAAAAGCACUUAUGUUGAUGAGUUUUAAAAUUAAAAAGUAAGGGAGGGCUUGCCUCCGAGCCCUGACAUUCAACACUCUCUCAUUUCUUCUCUCCCUUUCGCCAUCUAACUCGUCUCCCUACCACCCUGCCCACCACUGCACCCCUCCCCAUUGCCUCACCGCUCUGUGCACUCUUGCCUGCGUGCAUUGUCGGUGCACCCAUCCCCCCCCUGUGCAUCACCGCUGCAAGCUAACCCAAGUCUGCCACUCUCAGUCUCGCUUCCCUCUCCCUCCUGUACCCUCCAUCCCUGGUCGGGUCAAAUCCCUUUUCAUAUUGCUUGCUACCUAAUCUCAGAACAACGCUCAGUACAUCUCUGCCUCUGUUUUUUUAUUCGUGUCAAUGGUAUUAUGCAAGUGGUCUCAGGUAUCGGAUUUGGUUAUUUCCUUUUCGUUUCUGCUUCUUUAGAUAUUGGUUCCUGAUUUCAUAUCCUUCCCUGCAGGGUCACCAUUGAGGCUGACCACUCUGCCUCUGAGAUGAACCAGCUGGCUGUCGAUGUCAUGGCGGGAGAGAUUCAAGUGCAGAGCAGUGCUCGCUUUCAGCCUCUUUCUCUAUCGUAUCUUAUCGCAGAUUCACAGCUACAGCUCUCUCUCAAUUUUUUAAAGCUAGUCAUUGAUCACUACUUCCUUUCCAGUUGGCAUUGAGAAAGGAAUUCAGUCAACCAGUGAAGAUAAGUUUGUGUAUCUGAUAGGUCUACUCCAUGCAGCAAUGAUAUGCAUUCAUAGUUCCAUUCAUGUAUAUAUGUUCUGCAGACUUUGUGAAGAGUGGCUGCAGAAAAACCUGACAAUCUAGGUCAGAAUCCAAGACAAGUUGCUGGGAUGUUGGCUACUUGGCUCCCAUCAGAUUCAAUGAAUGAGGAGAUUGUAGCUAACCCAUUGAUCAAACCAGCUGGAGACCCAGCCGCCCGUGCCAUAAGCACAAGUACGCAGAAGCAUUUGCCAGCACUCUUGGAUGCUGAACCUUACACAUGAUGAGCUUUGUCUGUGGUUUUGAUUGUGCACUCAAAUCCCAGUAUCAUCAAUUCUUAAAUCAUAUAACAAACAUGGUUUAGCUAAAUCCCAGUAACAGGUCUCAAUAACAGUAGUUGCUUCAAAGUCAAUUUUAUCUCAGGUUGACAUGAGCGAUCGUCCAUUUCUUGAAACGAGGCAAGCUUUCUGAAAAGGGUUCCUAUUGUAGGCUUCUUACUAUUGGUAGUGAAUGACAGUCUUUUUCUAAUAUUUUUUGGUUUA